rnacentral:lncRNA from 1 species
AGGAUUUCUGGAACCUUGCACUGAAGCCCCAGCCAGGUAGGGGACCCAUUUCUCUGAGGCCUUCUUUCCCCACACUGCGUCACAUCCCUAACAAUAAUUCAGAGCCCAGUACCUUGGACUCCCAGUCUUCGACCACCUUGUUCCUCUCCUCGGAGGAGCCAGGCCCCUCCACCGCCGCCCUGCCAUCUCCCUCCUCCUCUUCCUGCGAGCCUCAGGCCUUUUCCCCAGGUCCGCCAGCGCUGCCUCCGCUGUUGCCUCCGCUCCCCGCAGCCUCGGCGCCCCCAGGCCCCGGCGCCUCCCGGCGCACAGGCCGCUACUCAGUCGUCGCCUCCUCCCCGGAGGCCGCCCCGCGUCUGGUCGACUGGCUCCCCGGUUGCCCUUCGACCAUCUCUCCCAGCACACGCGGGGAUGACAAGGAGCGGCCGCCGCCCGUCCUGGCACCGGCCGAGGGCCCGGAAAGGAGCCGCGCCCCGCGCCCCAGCACUGCGGGCAGGGAGGAGGGCACCGUGGACGCGGGUACAUCCCCGCCGCCCCGAGCCCGGCCCGCCGCUGCGGCGAGCUUGGAGGCCCACGUCGGGGACAUCCUGGUGGAGCUGCGGACCAUGAACGGCCACCUGGACAGCAUAGCGCGGGCCCUCACCAAACUGGCUUCGUCCCUGGGGCCCCAGCCUGAGCCCCUGCCAGAUGUUUCGGAUGCCAACUAAUGGAGCUCGGCGAGGCUGGGCCGCCCCGGGGCCGAGGGAUCGCUUGCACCAGGCAUCCCUGCCUGUCCCUCCCCAGCAGCGAAGCGCGCCCAGCGGAGGAGCGGUUGCUCUGCGCAGCUGCCUAGCGGAAAGCACGGCCCUAGCGUUUCAGCGUGAAACAGACCCGGUUGCGCCUCACACCCUCCUCCUCCGCUCUCUCACGGCGGCCCCUGCCCCGGCUUCCUGGCCCUUCACAUGCCCUUCUCUUGUCUUGAGCGUCUAGCAGAAAAAGUGCCUGGAAACGGCGGUGGCACCCUGCGAAGGAUGCUUAGAGAAACACUCUUUCACAUCCCAUUCCUGCGACUUCCGCGUGGCGUGGAGGGAGAGGAGCUCAAAGCAAGUCGCCAAAGCAGCAGCGAGGCCAGCUCCAGCGUUGGUGGGGCAUCCAUCUCUGGUGACGUUCACAAGAGGAGAAUUGAUGGCCCAAAGUGAAUGUCCUGCCCUGUGAUCUGCCCUUUAGCGGAAGAAACAGCAAAACCGGCAUCAACUAAAGCAACUGGGAACAUCAAGUUUUUAUUCAUUUGUUGAUUUGAACAGUAUUUCAUUCUGAUUUUAACUGACUUCUUUUGCAUUAGAUUAAAAACAACAACAAAAGACUGAAAUCUUUCAAGAACAAAGAGGAGCUGGCCUAUAAAUCCUAAAUACAGAUGUAGUGAUUGAACCCAUCUAGGUAGCUUAUGAAUAUAAAUCUCACCCAAAGUUUCAUCCACACUUAAGAGAUAACCACUGUUAAUAUUUUGGCAACUACUCUUGGAAGUAUUUGUGUCUAAAUACAAAUACCUAUGCGUAUGCAAUUUUACUUAACUGUGAUCAUAGUAGGCCUGCUGUUCUGUAACCUGUUUUUUUUUAAUCUUGAUAAUAGAUGAUAGAAAUCUUUUCAUUUAAAAAGCAAUGUUAUAUAUGAAGUAAAAUUUGCUUAACCAUU